rnacentral:rRNA from 1 species
GAUGAACGCUAGCUACAGGCUUAACACAUGCCAGUCGAGGGGAAACGAUGAGAGAGCUUGCUCUCUUAGUCGUCGACCGGCGCACGGGUGAGUAACGCGUAUCCAACCUGCCUCUGACCAAGGGAUAACCCGUCGAAAGUCGGACUAAUACCUUAUGCAGUCGUCGGAAGUCAUCUGAUGACGACGAAAGAUUUCAUCGGUGAGAGAUGGGGAUGCGUCUGAUUAGCUUGUUGGCGGGGUAACGGCCCACCAAGGCGACGAUCAGUAGGGGUUCUGAGAGGAAGGUCCCCCACAUUGGAACUGAGACACGGUCCAAACUCCUACGGGAGGCAGCAGUGAGGAAUAUUGGUCAAUGGGCGUAAGCCUGAACCAGCCAAGUAGCGUGCAGGAUGACGGCCCUAUGGGUUGUAAACUGCUUUUAUGCGGGGAUAAAGUGAGGGACGUGUCCUUCAUUGCAGGUACCGCAUGAAUAAGGACCGGCUAAUUCCGUG